GUUGUAAACGCUUUGACGGUUUACAAAAUUGCAACAAGCAAGAAUAUAAAUAUUAGAAUAUUUAGACAAUUAUUAGUUGCAAAAUUAUUAGGGGUUAUCUGAAAAUACAAAAAAUCCUUGUCUUCGACGGAGUCGGCAUAAUAUCGCCGUUCGGAAAAAUGAUUCCGAAAGAAGCAUUAGACGCGCAUGCAAACUAUGUUAUGCAAAUAAAAGACGUCGAAUGGACCGAACAAAGGUACAAAAGAAUUUGAAGAAUACAACAACUUAUUGUCCA
rnacentral:misc_RNA from 1 species